CCCAAGAGUGAGUGAUCUGAAAACAUGUUGAGUUUCAAGAAAUAGAGACCCAUUGGACAAUGUCAAAUAUCACGAAAAGGUUAAGUAAAGACUGAAAAAAAAUGAGCGUUUGGAUUUCAGCCAUGGUUUUUAAACGGGUGAUGAAAACGUGCUGGGACUCGACACCGGGGGUAGUUGCAUGGGAUAUCACACAAGGAUGCCAGGGAUGCCCACUCAGAAGAAGGGCCCUGUGAGGACACCCAAAGAAGGUGACCAUCUGCAAGCCAAGGAGAGAGGUCUCAGGAGACACCAACACCUUGAUCUUGGACUUCCGCCCUGCAAAACUGUGAGAUGCAUCUCUGUGUAAGCCACUCAGCCUCUGGUAUCUUGUUACGGCAACCCAGGCUGACUGAUACACCAGCCUAGUGUCAUAUCAGACGCUUAUUAAUAAACGGAAUCACGGUGGGAGGGC